rnacentral:rRNA from 1 species
AGCAGUCGCCACGGGAAUACGAAGGGGGCUAGCGUUGCUCGGAAUUACUGGGCGUAAAGGGCGCGUAGGCGGCGCUCCAAGUUAGGCGUGAAAUUCCCGGGCUCAACCUGGGGACUGCGCUUAAGACUGGAGUGCUUGAGGAUGGAAGAGGGUUGUGGAAUUCCCAGUGUAGAGGUGAAAUUCGUAGAUAUUGGGAAGAACACCGGUGGCGAAGGCGGCAACCUGGUCCAUUACUGACGCUGAGGCGCGAUAGCGUGGGGAGCAAACAGGAUUAGAUACCCCGGUAGUCCCUGUCUCUUAUAC